GACGAACGCUGGCGGCGUGCUUAACACAUGCAAGUCGAACGAUGAACCACUUCGGUGGGGAUUAGUGGCGAACGGGUGAGUAACACGUGGGCAAUCUGCCCUGCACUCUGGGACAAGCCCUGGAAACGGGGUCUAAUACCGGAUACCACCACCGCAGGCAUCUGUGGUGGUUGAAAGCUCCGGCGGUGCAGGAUGAGCCCGCGGCCUAUCAGCUUGUUGGUGAGGUAGAAGCUCACCAAGGCGACGACGGGUAGCCGGCCUGAGAGGGCGACCGGCCACACUGGGACUGAGACACGGCCCAGACUCCUACGGGAGGCAGCAGUGGGGAAUUUUGGACAAUGGGGGCAACCCUGAUCCAGCCAUUCCGCGUGAGUGAAGAAGGCCUCGG
rnacentral:rRNA from 1 species